AUUGAACGCUGGCGGCAGGCCUAACACAUGCAAGUCGAGCGGCAGCGGGAAAGUAGCUUGCUACUUUUGCCGGCGAGCGGCGGACGGGUGAGUAAUGCCUGGGGAUCUGCCCAGUCGAGGGGGAUAACUACUGGAAACGGUAGCUAAUACCGCAUACGCCCUACGGGGGAAAGCAGGGGACCUUCGGGCCUUGCGGGAUUGGAUGAACCCAGGUGGGAUUAGCUAGUUGGUGCGGUAAUGGCUCACCAAGGCGACGAUCCCUAGCUGGGCUGAGAGGAUGAUCAGCCACACUGGAACUGAGACACGGUCCAGACUCCUACGGGAGGCAGCAGUGGGGAAUAUUGCACAAUGGGGGAAACCCUGAUGCAGCCAUGCCGCGUGUGUGAAGAAGGCCUUCGGGUUGUAAAGCACUUUCAGCGAGGAGGAAAGGUUGGUAGCUAAUAACUGCCAGCUGUGACGUUACUCGCAGAAGAAGCACCGGCUAACUCCGUGCCAGCCGCCGCCGUAACAC
rnacentral:rRNA from 1 species